UUGCUUCAGCAGCACAUGUACUAAAAUUAGAAUGAUACAGAGAAGAUUAGCAUGGCCCUGUGCAAGGGUGACAUGCAAAUUCAUGAAGUGUUCCAUAUUUUU